rnacentral:rRNA from 1 species
GUCUCGUAGAGGGGGGUAGAAUUCCAGGUGUAGCGGUGAAAUGCGUAGAGAUCUGGAGGAAUACCGGUGGCGAAGGCGGCCCCCUGGACGAAGACUGACGCUCAGGUGCGAAAGCGUGGGGAGCAAACAGGAUUAGAUACCCUGGUAGUCCACGCCGUAAACGAUGUCGACUUGGAGGUUGUGCCCUUGAGGCGUGGCUUCCGGAGCUAACGCGUUAAGUCGACCGCCUGGGGAGUACGGCCGCAAGGUUAAAACUCAAAUGAAUUGACGGGGGCCCGCACAAGCGGUGGAGCAUGUGGUUUAAUUCGAUGCAACGCGAAGAACCUUACCUGGUCUUGACAUCCACAGAACCUUGUAGAGAUACGAGGGUGCCUUCGGGAAC